GACGAACGCUGGCGGCGUGCCUAAUACAUGCAAGUAGAACGCAGUUGCGAACGGGUGAGUAACGCGUAGGUAACCUGCCUCAUAGCGGGGGAUAACUAUUGGAAACGAUAGCUAAUACCGCAUACUGUGAGAUGGACCUGCGUUGUAUUAGCUAGUUGGUGGGGUAACGGCUCACCAAGGCGACGAUCCGUAGCUGGUUUGAGAGGACGACCAGCCACACUGGGACUGAGACACGGCCCAGACUCCUACGGGAGGCAGCAGUGGGGAAUAUUGCACAAUGGGCGCAAGCCUGAUGCAGCCAUGCCGCGUGUAUGAAGAAGGCCUUCGGGUUGUAAAGCACUUUUGGCAGGAAAGCGGUACCUGCAGAAUAAGCACCGGCUAACUACGUGCCAGCAGCCGCGGUAAUAC
rnacentral:rRNA from 1 species